GAGUUUGAUCAUGGCUCAGAUUGAACGCUGGCGGCAUGCCUUACACAUGCAAGUCGAACGGCAGCAUGAUCUAGCUUGCUAGAUUGAUGGCGAGUGGCGAACGGGUGAGUAAUACAUCGGAACGUGCCCUGUAGUGGGGGAUAACUAGUCGAAAGAUUAGCUAAUACCGCAUACGACCUGAGGGUGAAAGUGGGGGACCGCAAGGCCUCAUGCUAUAGGAGCGGCCGAUGUCUGAUUAGCUAGUUGGUGGGGUAAAGGCCCACCAAGGCGACGAUCAGUAGCUGGUCUGAGAGGACGAUCAGCCACACUGGGACUGAGACACGGCCCAGACUCCUACGGGAGGCAGCAGUGGGGAAUUUUGGACAAUGGGGGCAACCCUGAUCCAGCAAUGCCGCGUGUGUGAAGAAGGCCUUCGGGUUGUAAAGCACUUUUGUCCGGAAAGAAAUCGCACUUACUAAUAUUAGGUGUGGAUGACGGUACCGGAAGAAUAAGGACCGGCUAACUACGUGCCAGCAGCCGCGGUAAUACGUAGGGUCCAAGCGUUAAUCGGAAUUACUGGGCGUAAAGCGUGCGCAGGCGGUUGUGCAAGACCGAUGUGAAAUCCCCGGGCUUAACCUGGGAAUUGCAUUGGUGACUGCACGGCUAGAGUGUGUCAGAGGGGGGUAGAAUUCCACGUGUAGCAGUGAAAUGCGUAGAGAUGUGGAGGAAUACCGAUGGCGAAGGCAGCCCCCUGGGAUAACACUGACGCUCAUGCACGAAAGCGUGGGGAGCAAACAGGAUUAGAUACCCUGGUAGUCCACGCCCUAAACGAUGUCAACUAGUUGUUGGGGAUUCAUUUCCUUAGUAACGUAGCUAACGCGUGAAGUUGACCGCCUGGGGAGUACGGUCGCAAGAUUAAAACUCAAAGGAAUUGACGGGGACCCGCACAAGCGGUGGAUGAUGUGGAUUAAUUCGAUGCAACGCGAAAAACCUUACCUACCCUUGACAUGCCACUAACGAAGCAGAGAUGCAUUAGGUGCUCGAAAGAGAAAGUGGACACAGGUGCUGCAUGGCUGUCGUCAGCUCGUGUCGUGAGAUGUUGGGUUAAGUCCCGCAACGAGCGCAACCCUUGUCUCUAGUUGCUACGAAAGGGCACUCUAGAGAGACUGCCGGUGACAAACCGGAGGAAGGUGGGGAUGACGUCAAGUCCUCAUGGCCCUUAUGGGUAGGGCUUCACACGUCAUACAAUGGUGCAUACAGAGGGUUGCCAAGCCGCGAGGUGGAGCUAAUCCCAGAAAAUGCAUCGUAGUCCGGAUCGUAGUCUGCAACUCGACUACGUGAAGCUGGAAUCGCUAGUAAUCGCGGAUCAGCAUGCCGCGGUGAAUGCGU
rnacentral:rRNA from 1 species